CAACUACUCCCUCUGUCCCAAAUUUCUUGUCUUAGAUUUGUCUACAUACGGAUGUAUCUAAUACUAAAAUGUGACUUGAUACAUCCGUAUCUAGACAAAUCUAAGAAAAGAAUUUUGGGACGGAGGGAGUACUUU
rnacentral:pre_miRNA from 1 species